UCCUACGGGAGGCAGCAGUGGGGAAUAUUGCACAAUGGGGGAAACCCUGAUGCAGCCAUGCCGCGUGUGUGAAGAAGGCCUUCGGGUUGUAAAGCACUUUCAGUUGUGAGGAAAGGAUAAUUGUUAAUACCCAGCAUCUGUGACGUUAGCAACAGAAGAAGCACCGGCUAACUCCGUGCCAGCAGCCGCGGUAAUACAGGAGGGUGCGAGCGUUAAUCGGAAUUACUGGGCGUAAAGCGCACGCAGGCGGUUUGUUAAGCUAGAAGUGAAAGCCCCGGGCUCAACCUGGGAAGGCCUUUUAGAACUGGCAAGCUAGAGUCUUGGAGAGGGGAGUGGAAUUCCAGGUGUAGCGGUGAAAUGCGUAGAUAUCUGGAGGAACAUCAGUGGCGAAGGCGGCUCCCUGGCCAAAGACUGACGCUCAUGUGCGAAAGUGUGGGUAGCGAACAGGAUUAGAUACCCUGGUAGUCCACACCGUAAACACUGUCUACUAGCUGUGUGUAAAUUUAAAUUGUGCGUAGCGAAGCAAACGCGCUAAGUAG
rnacentral:rRNA from 1 species